UGGUAAGUACAAGACUCGAUAUUUCAUAUGUAGUUGGUGUUGUUAGACACCAACUACAUAUGAAAUAUUGAGUCUUGUACUUACCA
rnacentral:pre_miRNA from 1 species